UACGGAGGGUGCGAGCGUUGUUCGGAAUCACUGGGCGUAAAGGGCGUGUAGGCGGUCUGUUAAGUCUGAUGUGAAAGCCCGGGGCUCACCCCCGGAAGUGCAUUGGAUACUGGCGGACUCGAGUCUCGGAGAGGAGGGUGGAAUUCCUGGUGUAGCGGUGAAAUGCGUAGCUAUCAGGAGGAACACCGGUGGCGAAGGCGGCCCUCUGGACGAUGACUGACGCUGAGACGCGAAAGCGUGGGGAGCAAACAGG
rnacentral:rRNA from 1 species